UAGAAUCAAAAGUGUAAGAGUGAAAAAAAUGAGUUUUACGAGUGUUCAUCUUCUUUUUUAGAAUUGCUUCUUUUACAAUAGCCUCUUAUUUUCCAACAGACUCUCGUGAGGUCUCCAAGUCAAGAUAAUCUUUGAAGGGUAAUAAUCCAUUUAUAGUCAAAAUUCUUAGGAAUAACACCUCCAUGUACUCUAAUGUGCUGCAUUUCCUGCUGUACUUCAACUGAGAAUCGCAGAAAUUCAAUCGAAAGCUCCUCUAGCCUAUGGGAGAGAUUUUACUGUGCUGCCCACAAAGCUUCUACACUCCGAUUAUCAUCAAGAGCUGUACAGUGGUUCCCUUCAGCCAUUUUCUCUGGUCUUGAGCUCUGAUACCAAUUAUGACGUAGAUUGUUAGCACACGGUUCAUAUUCAUUAAGAUAUACUUGCACUUAUUUACUUCUUUACAAGUAGUUCUUAUUAGAACCAUAGGCUUUACUUAUUAUAACUGUCUUGUAUUUGACGUGUCGGCUCACGGUUGGUUUCUUUGUCUGUGCCGUACAUAGCUGAGUCUAUAUAAUAGCUAUUAUUCAUCUGUAAAGUGAGUGAAUAAGAUACAUUUCCCUUCGUCUUGGUAUUCCAACU